rnacentral:rRNA from 1 species
GACGAACGCUGGCGGCGCGCUUAACACAUGCAAGUCGAGUGAAGGGGCGGCCGGGUGGUUAAACCGUGAGUAACCUGCCUUAGACUUUGGGAUAGCCUCGGGAAACCGGGAUUAAUACCAAAUGGUCUAAGAUGGGCUCGCGUCCCAUUAGCUAGUUGGUGAGGUAACGGCCCACCAAGGCGACGAUGGGUAGCCGGCCUGAGAGGGUGAACGGCCACAUUGGAACUGAGAAACGGUCCAAACUCUACGGGAGGCAGCAGUGGGGAAUAUUGCACAAUGGAGGGAACUCUGAUGCAGCGACGCCGCGUGAACGAAGAAGGCUUUCGAGUCGUAAAGUUCUUUUAUAUGGGAAGCGGUACCAUAAGAAAAAGCCCCGGCUAACUACGUGCCAGCAGCCGCGGUAAUUC